AUAAUCCGACGAUUCGCAGGUGUCCGCAGCCGCGCAGCCACGCGCGGGCGGAUGAAACGGGAAGCCGGUGCAAGGCCGGCGCUGCCCCCGCAACGGUAAGGCCUGGUGCGUAGGCGCCCAGGCGGCGCAGAGCCACUGUUUUGGGCGCGUGUUCACGAUCUUUCGCCUGGCGUUGCCGGAAAAGACGGAGAGCAGGCUUCCAGAAUGGGAAGGCGCGCCGCCGGCAAGGCCCAGCCCGGAGACCGGCCUGCGUCGCCCCGGCCGG
rnacentral:ncRNA from 2 species